AACAGGGAGCACUUUGAGCCCACCCAGUACAGCAUGGACCACUUCUCAGGGAUGCACAAUUGGUACGCCUGUUCCCAUGCGAGGCCGACCUACUGCAAUGUGUGCCGUGAGGCUCUGUCUGGGGUCACGUCGCAUGGGCUGUCCUGCGAGGUGUGCAAAUUUAAGGCCCACAAGCGCUGUGCUGUGCGUGCAACCAGUAACUGCAAGUGGACCACACUGGCCUCGAUCGGGAAGGACAUCAUUGAAGAUGCAGAUGGGAUCGCAAUGCCCCACCAGUGGUUGGAAGGAAACCUACCUGUGAGCGCCAAGUGCACUGUGUGCGACAAGACCUGUGGCAGUGUGCUGCGCCUGCAGGACUGGCGCUGCCUCUGGUGCAAGGCCAUGGUUCACACAUCAUGUAAAGAAUCCUUGCUGACGAAGUGCCCGCUUGGCCUGUGCAAAGUGUCAGUCAUCCCACCCACGGCUCUCAACAGCAUUGACUCUGAUGGGUUCUGGAAGGCCAGCUGUCCUCCGUCUUGCACAAGCCCACUGUUGGUCUUCGUCAAUUCAAAAAGUGGGGACAACCAGGGUGUGAAGUUCCUCAGAAGAUUCAAACAGCUGCUAAACCCCGCCCAGGUCUUCGACCUCAUGAACGGAGGCCCACACCUCGGCUUACGGUUAUUCCAGAAGUUUGACACAUUCCGGAUUCUGGUUUGUGGCGGGGAUGGAAGUGUUGGCUGGGUCCUCUCCGAAAUCGACAGCCUCAACCUUCAUAAACAGGUACCUGGACAGGAGGGAGCCCAGCCAGGAGCAGAGAGGGUGCGGAGGUUAGAGGGAAAUCAUGCAGUCUCAGCUCCUGUUCAUCUCAGAGCACCUGUUCUCAGGCCAGAAACCAUUGGUGGUUUUGGGGAGUGUGCAGUUUGGUGGCCAGGGCAGAGAGGGGAGAGCCUGGGCCACCCCCUGGCAUCGUGGAGGCCCGGGCCUCUGGCCAUGAUGUAUGAGGGGGACCUGAAGGGAGCUAUGAAAAGAAUUGCCCACAAAGGACCCACAUGGGGAGCAGGGCUGGGUGGGGCUGUUGCUUCACUGGGUAAUUUUUGGCUUGAGGCCUCUUGCUUGUGAGAAGGGGACGGCAGUAUACUUGAAUUUCUCAAGUCAGAGUCAUGGUUCAUUGGACUUAGUUUUUUGUAUUAAAAUAAAAAUAGAUUUUCCUGAUUGUAUAUAAAAAUGUUCAUAUGUUCAUUUAAUUUCCACACCAAGCCAUGGCCUCCCCAGGUGAUCAGCCAGUGCCAACAUUUUGCUAUCUCGGACCUCUCUUGAUCACAGUACCUAAAAUGCACAAUGCACUUGUAAUUUAAACGGGCUGUUCUGUUACUGC
rnacentral:sRNA from 1 species